rnacentral:rRNA from 1 species
GAUGAACGCUGGCGGCGUGCCUAAUACAUGCGAGUCGAGCGAACAGAUGAGGAGCUUGCUCCUCUGACGUUAGCGGCGGACGGGUGAGUAACACGUGGAUAACCUACCUAUAAGACUGGGAUAACUUCGGGAAACCGGAGCUAAUACCGGAUAAUAUAUUGAACCGCAUGGUUCGAUAGUGAAAGACGGUUUUGCUGUCACUUAUAGAUGGAUCCGCGCCGCAUUAGCUAGUUGGUAAGGUAACGGCUUACCAAGGCAACGAUGCGUAGCCGACCUGAGAGGGUGAUCGGCCACACUGGAACUGAGACACGGUCCAGACUCCUACGGGAGGCAGCAGUAGGGAAUCUUCCGCAAUGGGCGAAAGCCUGACGGAGCAACGCCGCGUGAGUGAUGAAGGUCUUCGGAUCGUAAAACUCUGUUAUUAGGGAAGAACAAAUGUGUAAGUAACUAUGCACGUCUUGACGGUACCUAAUCAGAAAGCCACGGCUAACUACGUG